rnacentral:rRNA from 1 species
GAUGAACGCUAGCGACAUGCUUAACACAUGCAAGUCGCAGGAUAACUUGAGGAAAGCUUGCUUUCCUUUAUGUCGACUGUGGCACGGGUGAGUAAGGCUUAUCCUACCUUCCCAUAACUGCUGGUUAUCCCGUAUAAAGACUUCGUAAUACCGAUUUAUAUCGUUUGCUUGCGUCAACUAACGAUUAGCUCUUUAGCGGUUUUAAAGCGGGAUGCGUCUGAUUAGCUUGUUUGCGGGGUAACGGCCCACCAAGGCGACGAUCAGUAGGGGUUCUGAGAGGAAGGUCCCCCACAUGGGAACUGAGACACGGUCCAAACUACUACGGGAGGCAGCAGUGAGGAAUAUUGAUCAAUGGGCGAGAGCCUGAACCAGCCAAGUAGCGUGCAGGACGACGGCCCUAUGGGUUGUAAACUGCUUUUAUGUGGGGAUAAAGUGCGUGACGUGUCAUGCAUUGCAGGUACCACAUGAAUAAGGACCGGCUAAUUCCGUG